UAAAGCCCCACAAAUAUAUUUACUUUCCCGCUUCUUCACUCUCCUUCAUGUCCGACUCCUCGACCUCGACCCCCUUCGACCUCGCCUCCAAUGUCGCCUGCCGCUUUCUCUUGCAGUCUUUCUCUCAUCUCUCUCACGAUUUCUUCUCUCUCUUCUUUCUGCUUAUAGGUGGCAAUGGCGACAUAGUUUUGGGCUCCUCGUCUGCAGGAAUGGAGUGACAGGACUGUUGGGUUAAUGAGUGGAGAGGGUUUUGAUAAAUUUGAAGUCUCAAAUUUCAAAUUGAAGCUUUUUUUCCAAAUUUUGAGUAGACGUUUUACAAGAAGCUAAUAAGGCAUACAAAGCAGCCAAGAAGGAUAGCAGCCUUGCUACCGAGACUGCUCAGGGUGACAAGGCUUCUUCAAAUGUGCUAACAACAUGAACUGCAUCAUUCAAAUUGAAAACUUAUUUAUGACUUUGCAGCUUGACACAGUUCAAUAAGGUACGUGAAGAAUGGGCAUAAUAAAGGAUGAGAUCACUGAAGUACGUGAAGAAUGGGCACAACACGUCGUGAAUUUGAUGAGUAUUAUGUAGAUCUACUCACUUUUGUUAACUUAUAUUUUUAAGGAGAUGUAUACUUACAUUGUUAACUUAGACAUUCUACGAUAUAGUUUUAUUGUCUAACUAUUGUUACUAUUCU